rnacentral:rRNA from 1 species
GACGAACGCUGGCGGCGUGCCUAAUACAUGCAAGUUGAGCGCUGAAGGUUGGUACUUGUACCAACUGGAUGAGCAGCGAACGGGUGAGUAACGCGUGGGGAAUCUGCCUUUGAGCGGGGGACAACAUUUGGAAACGAAUGCUAAUACCGCAUAAAAACUUUAAACACAAGUUUUAAGUUUGAAAGAUGCAAUUGCAUCACUCAAAGAUGAUCCCGCGUUGUAUUAGCUAGUUGGUGAGGUAAAGGCUCACCAAGGCGAUGAUACAUAGCCGACCUGAGAGGGUGAUCGGCCACAUUGGGACUGAGACACGGCCCAAACUCCUACGGGAGGCAGCAGUAGGGAAUCUUCGGCAAUGGACGAAAGGCUGACCGAGCAACGCCGCGUGAGGGAAGAAGGGUUUCGGAUCGUAAAACUCUGUUGGUAGAGAAGAACGUUGGUGAGAGUGGAAAGCUCAUCAAGUGACGGUAACUACCCAGAAAGGGACGGCUAACUACGUG